AUAAAUCCAAAAUAUCUCAUCUCGGUCAUGGGGGGGGGGAGGGAGAGGGGAAGAGAGAAGAACAGUCACCCUCUCUCUGUUUUACUGGACUACAUAUUUGCUAAAAGGGGUUUCUUUUUUUUUUCUUCUUCUUCCACGUGGGGGGGGGAAGGGAGAGAAAAUAGAUUUUUUUGUUAGAUUAAAAAAAAUUACCUUUUAAGGCCAUCUAUCCUUAUUUCAUUGAAAAAAUUCAUCGAAAGUGUUGAAUGACUUGUAAUUUUUAACAAGAUGACAUUAGCCACGUUUCCAAACGCAAACUAGCAAAGGAGAGAUGUUCCCUUCUUUACGCGCCUGCCUUUUCUUUUGGAUUUUGAGGACUUCCCCGAAUUUUGAUCCCUGUCCCCCCUGGCCAUGUAGUCCAAGGACACGACCUGAAAUCCCAAGCCAACCUAGGCGCUCUUCCCCUACCUGGGGUUUCCAAGCAGCGAAGGAAGCUGUGGACUCGGCCGAUUACCAUCUCCCAUGGCUCCGCGUGUCUCUGGCGUGUGAAUGUGAAAAAUGAGAGUGCUGUGUUGGAAUCUGGGCCAAGUGAAGCGGAAAAUCCACGAAAGUUGCAUUUUGAGAAUGACAAGACACCUGGGCUGCUUAUGAGGCUUCUCCCAAUGCUUUCAGGGAAACUAGUAGAGACUCAAAGGAAAAAGGACCUUCUUGCCCAAGUAUGUUGAACAAUUGCACCACCUAGCGUCUUCCUCUCUGCUAUGUCUUCAAUAUUCACCUCAGAUUGCGAUGACCUUAUUCUCUACUUGCUAUCCUGAAUCUCUUCUAUGCUGAUAUCCUUUGAUUACCUGCCAUAUCCACAAUUCUGUCUGAUCUCUGGGUCCUAACCAUCUUUUAUUGGACCCAUCCUGCCAAGGAGCAAACCUUGGUUGUGAAACCAAACAAAAAAUAAAUACUAGGGCAAUCAUUUAAGAUAGAUAAGUUUCAUUCUAACAACAGAUUAUAUAAAUAAAAUUGAAAUAAAUUCA